GCGUUGGUGGUUCAGUGGUAGAAUUCCUGACUCCCACAUGGGAGACCUGGGUUUAAUUCCCGGUCAAUGCA
rnacentral:tRNA from 1 species